GGGAUAAGCGCUGAAAGCAUCUAAGCGCGAAGCCCCCCCUAAGAUGAGGCCUCCCUUGAGGGGCGUUGGAGACUACGACGUUGAUAGGCUGUAGGUGUAAAGCUGGUAACAGCAAAGCCGAGCAGUACUAAUACCCCGAACGACUUCCG
rnacentral:rRNA from 1 species